AGACACUUUAUUCAUGUACCAGCUCUGCUGAAAUCUACGGCUUCAGUAAUGUAUCUAGAGUUAUAGGGUAACAGAACAGCCCAGAAAGUGACCCGCAUGCAGAACAUGAACAUUUCUGCUGCUGGAAGGCUGGCAAGUCAAACUUUCAAGUGUGCAGAGGAUCAGGGAUACAAGUACAAAAGGAUUUCACUAACAGCGUGAAUGACAGAGGAAGUGCCCCCGACUGCACUUACGGACGUAAACCUGCGUCUUCUCUGCCACGAUGACAUAGACACAGUGAAACAGCUCUGUGGCGACUGGUUCCCAAUAGAGUACCCUGACUCAUGGUACCGAGAUAUCACUUCCAACAAGAAGUUCUUUUCCCUCGCAGCCACAUAUAGAGGCUCCAUCGUGGGAAUGAUAGUGGCAGAGAUCAAGAGCAGAACAAAGGUGCAUAAAGAGGAUGGAGACAUCCUAGCUUCCAAUUUUCCUGUGGACACUCAAGUUGCUUACAUCCUAAGUCUUGGAGUGGUGAAAGAGUUCAGAAAACAUGGAAUAGGUUCGCUCUUGCUUGAAAGUUUAAAAGACCAUAUAUCGACGACUGCCCAAGAUCACUGCAAAGCCAUCUACCUGCACGUCCUCACCACUAACAACACAGCAAUAAACUUCUAUGAAAACAGAGACUUUAAGCAGCACCACUAUCUUCCCUAUUAUUAUUCCAUCAGAGGGGUCCUCAAAGAUGGCUUUACCUACGUCCUGUACAUCAAUGGUGGACACCCACCCUGGACAAUCUUAUAUCCUUUACCUUCAGUCUGAUUAGCAGUGGAACACAAUAAGCAGAUGCCACACUAUGUUUUGGGUUAAAAAUGGCAAUCUAGCAAAGUGUGACCUGGCUAGAUCUAGGGACUGAUGCCUGCUCAGAUGCGAGUUUAGUCUGAAGCUGAAAGGAAGGUGAUGUUAGAGGGAUUUGACAGUGACCCACUAUCAAGUGGGAUGGUACAUUGAAUUCUAAGUUGGAGCGAGUUUGGUGCCAGUGAUGGUGAAUGCUGGUGUUAAGUCAGAGUGCUAGGCGUGCUCUGGUUUGUGUGGUGCAGGAUUUCUACAGCAGCACGGCACAGAAGACCUUGGUCUUGUUUCCUGUGGCCCGGGAUCCCCUAUGACCCUCACCUGGCCUGGAUCUCAGCAGGCUGCUCUCAAACUGACUUUGGGGGUUUAUUUCAGGUCGUUGGAUCACGGAGAAGAAAUCUGAUCUUUCCUGAGUGUAGCUAGUCUGUCCAAACCUCUCCAGGCAGGUGGAUGGAUUGCCAUCCCCACAGGAACUUGCUGUGGAAUGCAAAGGGAACGGCUUAGAGGAGGGAUUUCCCACACAAGUUGGAGCGGUGUUCCCAAAUUGCCUUUUUUUAUGGUGCAAAGCAGACCUGCUUUUGAUAGAAUGGAGCAGGCAAUUAAUAUGAGAAGCAGAUCUGUCUGAGUAAACCAUCUUUCUUUGUCAUGGGGUCUCUUUAGGGAGUGCUAGCCCAGAGUACUUUAAGUUAUUUCUGAAGUUACAGUGUAAAUCUUGCUCUCCUUAACUGAUGGCCACUGACUACCUACAGCACAUUGGAUCAACGCUAGCCAGCCUGAGCCCAUGUUCAAUUCCCCAGCGGAUAUAUCGACAAGCCCAGAGCAUUCUCUGCAGUCUUCUGCCCUGGUCUGGCAUUUCUGCCAAGAGCGGCAUUGAAUAUAGCCGGACGAUGUGACUGGAUUGGAAGAUGUACAAAAAGCAAAGGAUUGUUCUUCCUUUCAUCUCCUGACCCAUCCGGCUCUGCACUGAUUCCAGUGAUGACGGCUCUUGGUCAGUGACCCAGCCCCUGGACAGGACUCCUUGUUUCACAGGUUGACUGAGAUUAGGCAGACUUCACACUUGACGGGCUGCAGCCCUGACUUACCCCCGUGGCCUGGAGCCUGCGAACGCUGCCUGGGCAGGCCUGGCCGUCGUGCGAGGCAUCUGGCUGUGCCGUAGCUGAGGGCCCUUUGCGUCACCGGUCUGUGUGCAUGUUGCACUGUCCCCGUCACUUCCCUUGCCUCUGGUUUGCUCCUAUUUGUACACAUGAUGUAGAGGGGUUCAGCCGCUGCUUCCACACCAUGGCUACUGAAAGUAGCGUGAAUGAGGUGAAUGAAUCUGCACUGACCAACCAUGUAAAUGAGCUGUGAGCGCCCUGGCAGGCUGCUGCUGGCAGAAUAUACGGUUGUGACCUUGUUGCGGGGGAAGGUGGGAGUGAGGAUCCUGUCUGGCUCCUGCCAAGUCAGUUGCUGGUGCUUCCUGCAGGUAACUUCCAGGGAGGGUAACAGCCUCCUGUGAGAAACUACCCAGACGCGCCAGCCCUCUGGAGUGACUUAAAAAGAAGCAUUUAAUUAAGGAUGCAUCAAGUAGAAGGCAGGGAAUGAAAUUGCUAUUUCAUAGUGAAAUAUAUAUAUUAUACUGUAUAGCUCUUUCUGCCUUUGUCCAAGUUGGAACAGAGCAGGGGAGGGGAGCUGAGGGUGUAGAGCCACUGCUGCAGCCAGAGCCCUGUGGACUCUGCUGUGGAGCCCUUCUCCUCCCCUUGCACGCACCCUCCCAUGGCACCGGGGCUGAACUCUUGCAGGGUCUUUAGGGAUGAGCUCUGUGCAGGGAUCAAAGCAGCUUUUCCUUGCUGAAGAAAAGCUCCCCCAGCUGCUCACUGGCCAUCAUCUGGGCACCUCGGUGGGGCUGUGCUGGCAGCCAGCCUCCCUGCGGCUCCUGUCCUGGCCGCGGGUCCCCCGUGGCUGUGCCAGCCUGGGGCUGUGUCUCAGUUCCCCGGCAGUUAACGUCCAGCCUGCGUGGAGGGCCCCGCUGUUCCUGUGUGCCAUGGCCAGGCCAGGCACCCUUCCUGUGCCUCGGAGCGAGGUUGGGCAAACGCUUUGCUUUUAAGGUGUGAGUUUCUGCAGCUCACCCAGCCUGGGCACGGGUCAGAGGUGCAGGUAUCCCUGCACCCUGUCGGGGUCCCAUUGCGAAUCCCCCUUCCCUGCUCAGCGCCGUGUUCCUCAUUCUCCUCUUGUUUUGAAACUGGGCCUUGAGCACAGGAGGCCUAAGCUGUAGCUGGCGCAUCGCCUGCCUGCGCAGGCAGGGCCAGCUCUGGCAGCGGCUGUGGGCAGGGCGGCAGAUGAGACAUGGUACAGGUCAGGCUCAGGCUUAGAAGAGAAAGCAAGCACAUUAAGAUCGUGCAGGCCAAAUGACCAUAAAGUCAUUUCAGUGUCUGUAAGCCCCUGAGGUAGGAGUUAGUUAAUAAAAGGGCGCAGGAAGCAAGCUUUGUGUGUGGUUCCCGAGAAGGGUGGUUGGAACUCGCUCCCCGCUCUGCCCACGGCUGCCACAGGGCUGGCACUGUGGUGCUGAUGCUAGGCUCAGUGGUGGCUCUGGCACAGAAAGCCCCUGUGAGCACAGCUUCCUCCACAGCCCUGGCCAGCCCUGCAGCCUGGGUUGCAGGAAGCAGAUUGCUCCAGCCCCAGGAGCUGGCACAUAACCACAUUUUGGAGCAGCAGGCGGCUGUUCUGCCGGGAGGUGCUUGUCCCUCUUCAGGGCUUGAACAGGUCUAGCCCAAGGAUUAGUCACCACAAGGAAAAACCAGUGUCUCCCUGAGGACAGUCAAGCUCUGAGCUGUUGGAGAGUCCAUCCUUGGGAGACUGUUAACCCCGAGAAGCCAGGGCUGACCCCUGUGUGGGCUGUUGGAGCAGAGCACUGCAGAGGCUCCUUCCAACCUAUGCAGCUCGGGUUCCCCUUCGGUUUAGGAGCGCAACGGCUCUGUGCAGCCCGCUGUGCAGCAGGCAGGCUGAGCCAGGCUUGAGGGCUGCAGGCUGGCGGCAGAGGAUGCGCAAUGGUGCAGGGAGCUGCAGGCUGAGCUGGGGCUGGUGCUCGCAGCUUUGGCCAAGGUGCCUCUCUUGGGAGUUUUAGCUGGACCACGUGGUGGAAGAGGAGCUCUGCCACCCGCGGCUGGGGCACUGAGAUAGAGCAUGGUGGGCUCACAGCCUGCUGCCACCAGUUCCCCUCUGCAGGGCUGCGUGUUCCUGCCUGCUAGUGAUGUGGUGGAGCAGCUUGCAGAAGAGCAGGGCAGGUCUGCGCAGCCUUGACUGAGUUGCUCAUGGCACCGCAGCCUGGCACUGCCCAGGGGCUCCCCUCCUGUGCUGUGGGGCCACCUGGCUCCUUGGGCCAGGCUGCGGCUGCCACCACCUCAUGGUGGGGGCCAGGCUGCCUCCAGCCCAGCAGAGCCAGCUCAGCACCCACCACCAGCCCAUGGGGAGCAGGUGUUGCCUUGGCUUUGCCGAGGCACUGGCAGGGAGGCUUUGGCUGUCCCCAUUGUCCCCAGUGCUCCUCUCACAGCCCGGCUGGCCCCUCCGGCAGAACUGCUGCCCUCCCUCCUAGCUACAGCGCUUUUCCCAGGGGAGGCCUGAAGCACCCUUCCAGCCUCAUUUCUUACCCCUUUUUGGUUUUCGGUUGGGCUUUUUUUCCCCUGCUUAUCCACUUUUCACUUAAACACAGCUGUUGGUUUAUAUGAGUUUCUUCAGCAGCUGAAGCCCCUGGUUUUCCUCAGCACUUGCUUCCUCUGGACUAGAAUGUUUCUCUCCUGGUUGUCUGGGACUGAUGUCUGUACCCCCCAUCCCUCUUUCUGUCCUGCCCGUUACACAACCCAGCUCCACUCCCGCAGCACUUGAGCACGUCCCCAGGGGACCUGUGACUGAUCCAUGUGUCCUCCUGCCACCCCAUCCUCUGAGGUGUCAGCGACGUCCCCGCCUCACGGACCGUUAUUUAUUGAAGAGCAUUGUGCUGCCACCGUCAGCCUCUCUCCAAACGUCUUCAAUUAAACCAAACCUCUUUUCUGAGUCGUUUGUCUCUCUGUGCA